rnacentral:rRNA from 1 species
UACGGGGGGGGCAAGCGUUGUUCGGAAUUACUGGGCGUAAAGGGCUCGUAGGUGGCCAACUAAGUCAGACGUGAAAUCCCUCGGCUUAACCGGGGAACUGCAUCUGAUACUGGAUGGCUUGAGUUCGGGAGAGGGAUGUGGAAUUCCAGGUGUAGCGGUGAAAUGCGUAGAUAUCGGGAGGAACACCUGUGGCGAAAGCGGCGCACUGGACCACUACUGACGCUGAGGCGCGAAAGCUAGGGGAGCAAACGGG